rnacentral:rRNA from 1 species
UGGGGAAUAUUGCGCAAUGGGCGAAAGCCUGACGCAGCGACGUCGCGUGAAGGAUGAAGGUCUUCGGAUUGUAAACUUCUGUUAAGUGGGAAGAAAGCUCUAUCAAUAAUACGGAUAGAGGAUGACGGUACCAUUAGAGAAAGCACCGGCUAACUUCGUGCCAGCAGCCGCGGUAAGACGAGGGGUGCGAGCGUUAUUCGGAAUUAUUGGGCGUAAAGGGUGUGUAGACGGUAUGCUAAGUCUGUUGUUAAAUCUCCCGGCUUAACCGGGAAUCAGCAGUGGAUACUGGUGUGCUAGAGGGUGGAAGAGAGAAGUGGAAUUCUCGGAGUAGCGGUAAAAUGCGUAGAUCUCGAGAGGAACACCAAUGGCGAAGGCAGCUUCUUGGUCCAUUUCUGACGUUGAAACACGAAAGCGUGGGGAGCAAACA